CUUGAAGUGGACGUAACUUGAAGUUGUCCAAAUCGCACAGAACCACGCGAGACCUCAAAACGAUAAGUUGUUGGCAAUAUGGUUGCACAGAGUAGAAUAUUGAUUACGUUUUAAGGGAGGCAGGGGUUUUAGGCAGGAUUUGAUGCAUGAUUUGUGUGUAGAUAUUAAAGUUAGGGGACAAUAUGAGAGUGUACGUUUUAGUAGAAAAACGUAUUAUCUGACCCACACUCCGGAACAGAAGAGGGAGGUAUUGCACCAAUAAGCUGGAUGCCAACCGCCGUUAAACUGGAAAGAAGACGAAAAUGACAGCUUGCUGUGAGAGACAACGGGACAGAUGAGACACAUGUGUGUUUAUCUGCUGUAGAGUAACUGGUGAAGGAAUGCUGCCAUCAAAGGAUUUGUAUCUUUUGGGGUGCAGCAGGACCUGCAAGGAAAGGUGAAAAAGAGGGAAAACCUGAAACAAAAGAAUAAUGGGCCUACAAUCCCCUGAUCAACCUGGAGAAGAGAGCCUUGCUCAAGGACACACUGGUGUUCCUGUGGCUCAAGUGGUAGAGCAUUGCGUUAGCAGUGCAAGGUUGUGGGUUCGAAUACCAGGGAACACAUGUUAGGUAGUCGUGCUCAUGGGUUGCAGGCACACGAAAGUUUGGAGCAGACACAGCAGUCAGAUUGUCCUGCACGUGUUCCCCUGCUCUAGCUUCAAGGUUGUGUGGCUCAGAGAGCCGUCAUCAAGGUCUUCUUCAUCCUGUUGCUCAACGACAUCCCUGUUGAGAAGAGUGAGAUUGUGAAGUGCAGCAGCAGAACUGUAUCAGCUGUGUUCAGAUGGCAGGAGGAUGUUGGGUUCACCAUCUGUAAAUACUUGAUUGUUAGAACAAUAAGUUUGAAUGAAGCUUUGUAUCAUGUGUUGUUGACUUGUACAUGUAUGCAUUUAUUGUGAUGCUAACUUUUAUACAUUAUUUUAAUCAUUUAGACAUGUUUUUUGUUGUCAGUAAAUAACAUAUAAAUAUUUUAUCCAUUCAUGUA